rnacentral:rRNA from 1 species
CCCUUAGAUGUCCGGGGCCGCACGCGCGCUACACUGAAGGAAUCAGCGUGGCUUUCUCCCUGACCCGAAAGGGUUGGGAAACCCGUUGAAUCUCCUUCGUGAUAGGGAUUGGGGCUUGAAAUUGUUCCCCAUGAACGAGGAAUUCCCAGUAAGCGCGAGUCAUAAGCUCGCGUUGAUUACGUCCCUGCCCUUUGUACACACCGCCCGUCGCUACUACCGAUUGAACGGUUUAGUGAGGGCCUCGGAUUGGUCUCGGCCCGCUCUUUACCGGGCGGCGCCGUUUGUCGAGAAGACGCUCGAACUUGAUCGUUUAGAGGAAGUAAAAGUCGUAACA